CCCUACGGGGCGCAGCAGGCGCGAAAACUUCACACUGUGCGAAAGCGCGAUGAGGGAAUCCCAAGUGUUUGCUCGUAAGAGUAAACUGUUUCUUUGUUUAAAACGCAGAGAGAGUAAGGGCUGGGUAAGACGGGUGCCAGCCGCCGCGGUAAUACCUGCAGCUCGAGUGGUGAUCAUUAUUAUUGGGCCUAAAACGUCCGUAGCCGGUUUAGUAAAUGCCUGGGUAAAUCGUGUAGCUUAACUAUACGACUUCCGGGUAGACUGCUAAACUUGAGACCGGGAGAGGCUAGAGGUACUCCUGGGGUAGAGGUGAAAUUCUGUAAUCCUAGGGGGACCACCAGUGGCGAAGGCGUCUAGCUAGAACGGGUCUGACGGUGAGGGACGAAGCCCUGGGGCACAAACCGGAUUAGAUACCCGGGUAGUCCAGGGUGUAAACGCUGCUUGCUUGAUGUUAGUUGGGCUCCGAGCCCAACUAGUGUCGGAGAGAAGUUGUUAAGCAAGCUGCCUGGGAAGUACGGUCGCAAGGCUGAAACUUAAAGGAAUUGGCGGGGGAGCAC
rnacentral:rRNA from 1 species